rnacentral:misc_RNA from 1 species
GAUGAAGAACGUAGCUAAAUGCGAUAAGUAAUGUGAAUUGCAGAAUUCAGUGAAUCAUCGAAUCUUUGAACGCACAUUGCGCCCGCCAGCAUUCUGGCGGGCAUGCCUGUUCGAGCGUCAUUUCAACCCUCGAGCCCCCCCGGGGGCCUCGGUGUUGGGGGACGGCACACCAGCCGCCCCCGAAAUGCAGUGGCGACCCCGCCGCAGCAUCCCCUGCGUAGUAGCACACACCUCGCACCGGAGCGCGGAGGCGGUCACGCCGUAAAACGCCCAACUUUCUUAGAGUUGACCUCGGAUCAGGUAGGAAUACCCGCUGAACUUAAGCAUAUCAAUAAGCGGAGGA